AACACCUCAACUCUAUUUCUUCUUGAAAUGGAGCUGGACUUGAGUGAUCCCAACGCUUUUUUCAAAAGUGGCGGGUUACUUGAAAUGCAGGUGCAGCUGGACUUUUCUCUGAGCUAAAAGCAUAUCUAUUUAGUCUGCCUAAAAAACAGAUUAUUACCUUUGCUGCAGCUAACAUAAAGGAGAUUAGUUCUUGUGCUGACUGAUGCAGGAUUCACAGAGACCGCUUCGGCUGUCUUUGUAA
rnacentral:misc_RNA from 1 species